CGCGCCUUAUAAUUGAGAAGUGGCCUGAAAUCCGUCAAUAAUCAUUAACGAUAUUAAUUAAGGCCCCAUUUACACUAUACCGGAUUGCAUCGGAGCGGAGCGAUUUUUAUACCGGAUUCGGCUGCUGUUUACACUACGCCACAGUAAAAAUCACUCCGCUUUGGAAGUGAUAUGAAAAGUAAUCCAGUAUGUGCCGAAGCAGUGUAAACAGGCCAAUCCGGUAGGAUUUGGUAUAGCUGUUGUUUGCUUCGCCUUACAACAAUUUACUAUUUGUGGCGAAGAUAAAGAAAACGAUAAUAACAUUGACUUUUCGGUUUCGAAAGAGCAAAAUUUAAAGAAAUACUCGUCAGUGUUGGAUUAGAGCGAAACGAAGCAACGUCUGGUAGUCAAGCUUUUUAAACAAAGUUAUACUUUACAAAGAAAACGUGUGUUACUUUUUUUUCAUAAAUUUUAGCAUAUUGGCAAAAAGUUUGGAUCAGGUAGGGUCAGUUAGGAAACAAAACGCCUUUAGACCCCUAUUUAUGUACAUGAUUUCAAUUAUUGUUGUCUCUGUGUUAUGUGCAAUGAAUGGGCGUUUCGGUCAAAAUACUUUGACUUUCAUCAGCUAUAAAAUGUUGAUGGUAGCAAAAGUGAUAAUGAACGCAUGCAUGCUGGCGUUGUUAUUCAAGUGUUGCCGUAUAGAAACACGAUCAUUUUUAAAUUUCUAAAAUAGUUGAAACAACAGCUACAAAAAUGGCGUAGCGUAAUUUAAUUAGCUUUGGUAUUGAUAACAUUUAGUAAUUCCGGUUUUCAUUAGAUAUUUACGUGCCAAAACUGGCUGAUUAUUUAUUAUGUAUUGUAUAUUUUAGAAUAAUUAGAAAUAUACAGUAUAACUUCAAUCUGUAAAUGUAAUUUUUUAAAUGAAUUAAUAUAUAUGUAUUUGUGUUAGAAGUAUAGGUAUAAUAGUAUGGUUUUGAGUGCAAUUUGGGAGAUUUAAACACCCACGAGUCCGAAAGACGAGUGUAAUUAAUUGAAGUCUUUGAAAAACUCACGAGUGUAUGUUUUUCCAAAAUUGUACGAGAAAUCAUACUAUUACUUAUUAAUAAUAUGCUUGAAAAAAUUAUGCAGUCACAUGCGUGGGCAGGUCACAUGCGAAAUAGUUAAUUUUAAUAAAAAUAAUUUUAAUAGAAAAUUUAGUAAAAAACUCCAGCCAUUUUUGUCAAUUGUAAGUGUUUGGGUUUUUUUCUGCAUUAUUUUCUGGGCUUCGGUGGCCAAGUGGUUAGCGCACUUGCCUUUCACCUCUAAGAUUGCAGGUUCAAACCUCA